GCCUGGGUGGCUCAGUCAGUUGAGCAUCCGACCUUGGCUCAGGUCAUGAUCUCACAGUUUGUGGGUUCGAGCCCCGCAUCAGGCU
rnacentral:tRNA from 1 species